rnacentral:rRNA from 1 species
AUUGAACGCUGGCGGCAGGCCUAACACAUGCAAGUCGAGCGGCAACAGGAAUAAGUUUUUACUUUUUUGCUGGCGAGCGGCGAACGGGUGAGUAAUAUCUGGGGAUCUGCCUUAUGGAGGGGGAUAACUACUGGAAACGGUAGCUAAUACCGCAUAAUGUCGUAGGACCAAAGUGGGGGACCUUUUUGGCCUCACACCAUAAGAUGAACCCAGAUGGGAUUAGCUAGUAGGUAGGGUAAUGGCUUACCUAGGCAACGAUCCCUAGCUGGUCUGAGAGGAUGAUCAGCCACACUGGAACUGAGAUACGGUCCAGACUCCUACGGGAGGCAGCAGUGGGGAAUAUUGCACAAUGGGGGAAACCCUGAUGCAGCCAUGCCGCGUGUGUGAAGAAGGCCUUAGGGUUGUAAAGCACUUUCAGCAGGGAAGAAAGUAAUUGCACUAAUAUUGCUAUUAAUUGACGUUACCUGCAGAAGAAGCACCGGCUAACUCCGUGCCAGCAGCCGCGGUAAUACGGAGGGUGCGAGCGUUAAUCGGAAUUACUGGGCGUAAAGAGUACGUAGGCGGUUUGUGUGGGUCAGAUGUGAAAUCCCCGGGCUUAACCUGGGAACUGCAUUUGAAACUAGCAAGCUAGAGUCUCGUAGAGGGGAGUAGAAUUCCAGGUGUAGCGGUGAAAUGCGUAGAUAUCUGGAGGAAUACCAGUGGCGAAGGCGACUCCCUGGACGAAGACUGACGCUAAGGUACGAAAGCGUGGGGAGCAAACAGGAUUAGAUACCCUGGUAGUCCAUGCUGUAAACGAUGUCGAUUUGAAGGUUGUGGCCUUGAGCUGUGACUUUCGUAGUUAACGCGUUAAAUCGACCGCCUGGGGAGUACGGCCGCAAGGUUAAAACUCAAAUGAAUUGACGGGGGCCCGCACAAGCGGUGGAGCAUGUGGUUUAAUUCGAUGCAACGCGAAGAACCUUACCUACUCUUGACAUCCAAAGAAUAAAACAGAGAUGUUUUAGUGCCUUUAUAGGAGCUUUGAGACAGGUGCUGCAUGGCUGUCGUCAGCUCGUGUUGUGAAAUGUUGGGUUAAGUCCCGCAACGAGCGCAACCCUUAUCCUUUGUUGCCAGCGAUUCGGUCGGGAACUCAAAGGAGACUGCCGGUGAUAAACCGGAGGAAGGUAGGGAUGACGUCAAGUCAUCAUGGCCCUUACGAGUAGGGCUACACACGUGCUACAAUGGUGUAUACAAAGAGAAGCGAUCUCGCGAGAGUCAGCAAACCUCAUAAAGUACAUCACAGUCCGGAUUGGAGUCUGCAACUCGACUCCAUAAAGUUGGAAUCGCUAGUAAUCGUGGAUCAGAAUGUCACGGUGAAUACGUUCCCGGGCCUUGCACACACCGCCCGUGGAUCCGUG